UACGGAGGGAGCUAGCGUUGUUCGGAAUUACUGGGCGUAAAGCGCGCGUAGGCGGCUUUGUAAGUUAGAGGUGAAAGCCCGGAGCUCAACUCCGGAAUUGCCUUUAAGACUGCAUCGCUUGAAUCAUGGAGAGGUGAGUGGAAUUCCGAGUGUAGAGGUGAAAUUCGUAGAUAUUCGGAAGAACACCAGUGGCGAAGGCGACUCACUGGACAUGUAUUGACGCUGAGGUGCGAAAGCGUGGGGAGCAAACAGG
rnacentral:rRNA from 1 species